AGAGUUUGAUCAUGGCUCAGAUUGAACGCUGGCGGCAUGCUUUACACAUGCAAGUCGAACGGUAACAGGGAGCUUGCUCCGCUGACGAGUGGCAGACGGGUGAGUAACACGUGGGAACCUUCCUAGGGGUACGGAACAACUCAGGGAAACUUGAGCUAAUACCGUAUACGUCCGUGAGGAGAAAGAUUUAUCGCCCUUAGACGGGCCCGCGUCGGAUUAGCUAGUUGGUGGGGUAACGGCCUACCAAGGCGACGAUCCGUAGCUGAUCUUAGAGGAUGAUCAGCCACACUGGGACUGAGACACGGCCCAGACUCCUACGGGAGGCAGCAGUGGGGAAUCUUGGACAAUGGGCGCAAGCCUGAUCCAGCCAUGCCGCGUGAGUGAAGAAGGUCUUCGGAUUGUAAAGCUCUUUUGCCAGGGGCGAUAAUGACGGUACCUGGAGAAUAAGCCCCGGCAAACUUCGUG
rnacentral:rRNA from 1 species